rnacentral:lncRNA from 1 species
GCAGGCAUGCUCCUUGUCAUGUCCUAUGUCCACAGGCAGUGGGUUUCCUCUCUCUGCAAGUUCACCUGGGCAGAGCCUGCUUCCUCAGCUUUGGGCCACUUCAGUCUUUUCUCCACCCCAGAUGUUUAAGUGAGCCCUGACUCACAGCUGGUUACAUGGGAGUAUGCAGCAAAGAGUUAUGAUGCCUCCUGAUCUUCAGCUUCUGGAGUCCCGUGGAGUUAAUCCAGGUCCCUCAGGGUCCUCAGAUGCCCAGUUACAGGCUCUGAACCUAUGGUGCCAGAUCA